ensembl:misc_RNA 7SK 7SK RNA
GGAUAUGAGAGCGAUCUGGCUGAGACGUCUGUUACCCUAUUGAUUGCCAGGGUUGAUUCAGCCACCUGGCUAGCUAGGUGGGUGUGCUCUUCUUCCCUCACCGCUUUAUGUACGUCCCUCAAUAAGUGCGCACUCUGUGGAAGAGGACGUCCAUCCCCCAGAGAAGAGGACCAGUCUUCAAUCAAAGGUAUAGGAGUAGUUGCGCUCCUCUGCUAGACUCUCCAAACAUGCUUUUCUUCUUCUUCUUCUUCUUUUUGAGAUGGAGUCUCAUUCUGUUGCUAGGCUGGAGUGCAAUGGCAUGAUCUCAACUCACUGCAACCUCUGCCUCCCGGGU